UACAGAGGUCCCAAGCGUUGUUCGGAUUUACUGGGCGUAAAGAGCGCGCAGGCGGUCGGAUAAGUCGAAUGUGAAAGCCCCCGGCUCAACUGGGGAGGGUCAUUCGAUACUGUUCGACUCGAAGGCAGGAGAGGGAAGUGGAAUUCCCGGUGUAGUGGUGAAAUGCGUAGAUAUCGGGAGGAACACCAGUGGCGAAGGCGACUUCCUGGCCUGUUCUUGACGCUGAGGCGCGAAAGCGUGGGGAGCAAACAGG
rnacentral:rRNA from 1 species